UACGAAGGGGGCUAGCGUUGUUCGGAAUUACUGGGCGUAAAGCGCACGUAGGCGGACAUUUAAGUCAGGGGUGAAAUCCCGGGGCUCAACCUCGGAACUGCCUUUGAUACUGGGUGUCUAGAGUAUGGAAGAGGUGAGUGGAAUUCCGAGUGUAGAGGUGAAAUUCGUAGAUAUUCGCAAGAACACCAGUGGCGAAGGCGGCUCACUGGCCCGGUACUGACGCUGAGGCACGAAAGCGUGGGGAGCAAACAGG
rnacentral:rRNA from 1 species